rnacentral:rRNA from 1 species
UACGGAGGGUGCAAGCGUUGCUCGGAAUCAUUGGGCGUAAAGCGCACGUAGGCGGCCUGUUAAGUCGGGUGUGAAAGCCCUCGGCUCAACCGAGGAAGUGCAUUCGAAACUGGCAGGCUUGAGUAUGGAAGAGGGUCGCGGAAUUCCCGGUGUAGAGGUGAAAUUCGUAGAUAUCGGGAGGAACACCAGUGGCGAAGGCGGCGACCUGGGCCAAUACUGACGCUGAGGUGCGAAAGCGUGGGGAGCAAACAGG